UAUUAGGUUGGUGCAAAAGUAAUUGCGGUUUCUGUCAUUUUCAAUAGUAAAAGCUACAAUUACUUUUGCACCAACCUAAUAUAA
rnacentral:miRNA from 1 species